rnacentral:lncRNA from 1 species
UCAUACCUAAUAUCAUAAAACACAUAAAAACAUAGCAAAUAUUCCAAAACACUUAAAAACAUAACAAUUAUUCCAAAACACAAAAUUUCUUAACUACUAAUAAGUUUUUAAAUCUUAAAUUAAAGUCGAAAAUCUUAACUGCUGCUCUCAGCUUUGUUCUGCUAUCUUAACUACUAAUAAGUUAUGCUAUUAAAGUCGAAAGUCUUUGUUCUGCUAUCUUAACUACUAAUAAAUCUUUAAAAUCUUAACUGCUGCUAUAUGCUUUGUUCUGUUGUUGCCGUCUGUCUGCUCCUCAACUGAGAAUCUGAGAUGGCGAAGGGCAAGGCCAAGAGAUGGAGAGGACAGGAGAGGAGGAGAUGGAGAGCUUGGGUGGGUGCGUGCGUGCGUGAGCGUAGAGAAUCCUAGGUUUUUUUUUUAA